rnacentral:rRNA from 1 species
UACAGAGGGGGCAAGCGUUAUUCGGAAUUAUUGGGCGUAAAGGGCGCGUAGGCGGCCUGACAAGUGGAAGGUGAAAUCCCUCGGCUUAACCGAGGAACUGCCCUCCAAACUGUUUGGCUUGAGACCGGGAGAGGUGAGUGGAAUUCCCAGUGUAGCGGUGAAAUGCGUAGAUAUUGGGAGGAACACCAGUGGCGAAGGCGGCUCACUGGACCGGUACUGACGCUGAGGCGCGAAAGCUAGGGGAGCAAACAGG